UACGUAGGUGACAAGCGUUAUCCGGAAUUACUGGGCGUAAAGCGCACGCAGGCGGCGGCGUCAGUCUGACGUGAAAUCUCCCGGCUUAACUGGGAGGGGUCGUUGGAAACUACGUCGCUUGAGGCGAGGAGAGGGGUGUGGAAUUCCCGGUGUAGUGGUGGAAUGCGUAGAGAUCGGAAGGAACGUCAAUGGCGAAGGCAGCCACCUGGCAUAAUACUGACGCUGAGGCGCGAAAGCGUGGGGAGCGAACAGG
rnacentral:rRNA from 1 species